UCAACGUCGCGUAUGGAGUUGAGAACGUUUUCCUCAGAUGGCGUGGUUCUUGUCCACUGUAACGCAGGGGUUUCCAGGGCUGCUGCGGUUGUCAUCGGCUUCCUCAUGAGUUCUGAAGAACUUGCUUUCACCAAUGCUUUGUCGUUGGUGAAAGAGGCAAGACCAUCCAUAUGUCUGAAUCCUGGCUUCAUGGAACAACUCCGCACCUACCGAGUAGGCAAAGAGAGCAAUGGAGGUGACCAAGUGCCCGCAGUGGCCACCGACCAUGGUCCGUGAUCUGUACUCUAGCUGAGGCAAACUACUUAUGCAUCUGCCUCUGCCCUCUCGCCUGUGUUUUGGACGGUAACUUGUAAAGCUUCCCUUUUCUGUUGUCUUUUACCAGUGGAAAUGGAAGCUACUUUUGUCGACCGGAAUUAAUACAUUUUUACAUUUU
rnacentral:lncRNA from 1 species